rnacentral:rRNA from 1 species
UACAUGGGGUGCAAACGUUGCUCGGAAUUAUUGGGCGUAAAGCGCGCGUAGGCGGUUACUUAUGUCGGAUGUGAAAGCCCUCGGCUUAACUGAGGAAGUGCAUUCGAAACUGGGUAGCUAGAGUACUAAAGAGGGUCGCGGAAUUCCCGGUGUAGAGGUGAAAUUCGUAGAUAUCGGGAAGAACACCCGUGGCGAAGGCGGUUCUCUGGGACGGUACUGACGCUGAGACGCGAAAGCGUGGGGAGCGAACAGG